AAAUGGGAAAAAUUGACGAAGGCAAAAAAUAUUGGAGGAAUGGGUUUUAGGGAUCUUCAUGCUUUCAAUCUAGCCAUGCUUGCAAGACAGGCAUGGAGGCUUAUCCAUAACCCAUCUUCUUUGUGUGCGAAGGUUUUGUCAUCACGGUAUUACCCAAAUGGCUCAAUACUUCAGGCCAGUCCCAAAGUUGGCAUCUCUUACACAUGGCGUAGUAUACUAAAAGGGGUUAACCUGCUCAAGAAGGGGAUUAUAUGGAGGGUUGGUAGUGGUAAUACCAUUGACAUUUGGUAUGACCCUUGGAUACCGAGAGGAACUACUAGAAGAGUCAUCACACAGAGGGGUAAAAAC
rnacentral:rRNA from 1 species